rnacentral:rRNA from 1 species
UACGUAGGGGGCAAGCGUUGUCCGGAUUUAUUGGGCGUAAAGAGCGUGUAGGCGGCCAUUCAGGUCAGCUGUGAAAACUCGAGGCUCAACCUCGAGACGCCGAUGGAAACCAUCAGACUAGAGUCCGGAAGAGGAGAGUGGAAUUCCUGGUGUAACGGUGAAAUGCGCAGAUAUCAGGAAGAACACCCGUGGCUAAGGCGGCUCUCUAGUACGGUACUGACGCUGAGACGCGAAAGCGUGGGGAGCGAACAGG